GCCUGGCAUGGUGGCGCGUGUCUGUAGUCUCAGCUACUUGGGAGGCUGAGACAGGAGGAUCACUAGAGUCCAGGAGUUCUAGGCUGCGGUGAGCUAUGGUUGCACCACUGCACUCCAGCCUGGGUGACAGGGUGAGACCCUGUCUCUG
ensembl:misc_RNA Metazoa_SRP Metazoan signal recognition particle RNA